rnacentral:rRNA from 1 species
GACAGAGGAUGCAAGCGUUAUCCGGAAUGAUUGGGCGUAAAGCGUCUGUAGGUGGCUUUUUAAGUCCGCCGUCAAAUCCCAGGGCUCAACUCUGGACAGGCGGUGGAAACUACCAAGCUGGAGUACGGUAGGGGCAGAGGGAAUUUCCGGUGGAGCGGUGAAAUGCGCAGAUAUCGGGAAGAACACCCGUGGCGAAGGCGGCUCUCUGGGACGGUACUGACGCUGAGACGCGAAAGCGUGGGGAGCAAACAGG